rnacentral:lncRNA from 1 species
AUGCAAGGGAAUGACAGGAGUCUCCCCUUUUUUGCACUGACCUCAAAGGACAAGACCAACAGGUUGCAGUGUAUAGUGACCUUAUCUUUCUUCCUGUACAGGUCAGAGGUGCCCUUUCAGCAAACAUCUGUGAAUAAAUGUCCUGCACAGACUGGGAGCUUAAUGCUGACACCUCACAUGGAAGAAAGUACCUGUAAAUGUCUGUCUCAGAUGGACAGUGCUGCUCAUCCCCAUCAUCCCUCUCUCACUUGUGCUUCUCUCCCCCCAUGGACACAGGACAUGCACCGAGCUGGGCAGAGGCCAGAGCUGUGGUCUCCUGCAUCUUUCAUGUCCCACAUGAGAGCUGGCUCAGAAGAGAGAGGAGGUCAGCCUGCCAAUGGUCACAAAGGAGCCCAUUCUCAAGACUCUCAACAGAAUUCCGUGGAGAAGUUGCCACCAAAUUUGCAGCCACAUUUGCUGUCAUCUGAAGACUUGAUGGGAAAAAGGAGUCACCAGACUGCAGCUGAAGGGGAAAAGAGGGAGCACAGUUCCAGAGAAGAAAUGAUGUUGGAGAGAAAGGUGGAAGUUGAACUCUGGCAUAUCCAGCAGCAGAUGCAGUACUACUACAGCAGGAAGCAGGAGCUCAAGUGCUGUCAGCAGCAGGCACAGAUUCUGCAGCAGUGGCUGGAAAUGAGCACGCAACCAGGAGCCCAAGAUGGUGUGCAAGGAGUUCAGGAAGAAUUGGGUCAGGUGUGUACACAGCAUUUAAAUUGA